GUGGGGAAUCUUGCGCAAUGGGCGAAAGCCUGACGCAGCCAUGCCGCGUGGAUGAUGAAGGUCUUAGGAUUGUAAAAUCCUUUCACCGGUGAAGAUAAUGACUGUAGCCGGAGAAGAAGCCCCGGCUAACUUCGUGCCAGCAGCCGCGGUAAUACGAAGGGGGCUAGCGUUGCUCGGAAUUACUGGGCGUAAAGGGAGUGUAGGCGGACAUUUAAGUCAGGGGUGAAAUCCCGAGGCUCAAGCUCGGAACUGCCUUUGAUACUGGGUGUCUUGAGUGUGAGAGACGUGAGUGGAACUCCGAGUGUAGAGGUGAAAUUCGUAGAUAUUCGGAAGAACACCAGUGGCGAAGGCGACUCACUGGCUCAUUACUGACGCUGAGGCUCGAAAGCGUGGGGAGCAAACAGGAUUAGAAACCCCUGUAGUCC
rnacentral:rRNA from 1 species